UACGUAGGGUGCGAGCGUUGUCCGGAAUUAUUGGGCGUAAAGAGCUCGUAGGCGGUGUGUCACGUCGGCCGUGAAAACCUGCAGCUUAACUGUGGGCGUGCGGUCGAUACGGGCAUCACUGGAGUUCGGCAGGGGAGACUGGAAUUCCUGGUGUAGCGGUGAAAUGCGCAGAUAUCAGGAGGAACACCGGUGGCGAAGGCGGGUCUCUGGGCCGAUACUGACACUCAUGCACGAAAGCGUGGGGAGCAAACAGG
rnacentral:rRNA from 1 species